UGUUUUUUUGUUGUUGUGGGAGGGCGAGACCACGUGCGUUCUCAGAGGCUGGGAGACGUUUUGAACCGCUAUUUCCGCAAAAGCCGUGGAACCGGCGGACCCAUGGGAAGGCGUGGUCUGUCGCCUACAACCGGCGGAAUUAUGGUGUCUGGCGAACUCUCCAGAUCGCCGGGUCCAUCACUUAAACCAUUCUUCUGCUCCUCCACUCCCUUGGUUCUUGUUCCAUCUCCUCAAACCUAUAUGCAUGCACCUGUCCAGACCCUGCCUAAAAGCACUGUUGCUCCAGAAAGGUGCUGAAGAAAAAUGCCAGGACUGCGCAGAUUCAGCCACCGCCUAACCCCAGUCCUGACAUACCAGGGUACUUGACAUUCUUUGCAGCAACACAAUGGAUGAAGAUGAACAGGAACUUCAGAAUAAGAACUGACGACGUGUGAAUCUUGGUUCUACCAUUCACUGAGGCACUUUCUGUCUUCGUACAUGUCUAAGUAAAAGGUGCCUAAUGUUGUGAGAUCUCAAUUUAUUUCUCUGUGAAGCAACAACAAACAGUAACCUGAAUGUAUUAGUCUGCCCAGGGCGCAAUUACAAAGUACUACAGAUGGGGGCUGGGGCUUAAACAACAGGUAUUGAUUUUCUUACAGUUCUGGAGACUGGAAGUCCAAGGUUAAGGUGUUGGCAGUGUUAAUUGCUGGUGAGACCUCUCACCUUGCUCUCUUCCUUGCUAUGUCCUCACAUGGCCCUUCUGUGCAUGCACAAAGAGAGAGAAGCUCUGGUGUCUCUCCCUCCUGUUUGGUCCUAUUGGAUUAGGGUCUUACCUCUAUGACCUCAUUUAACCUUAACUAUCUCCACAAAGGUCUUACUUGCAAAUAUGGUGAUAUUUGGGGGUUAGGACUUCAACAUGAAUUUUGGAGGAACAUAAUUCAGUUUAUAACAACUGAACACUGUCACAAGGAUUACUUCUGAUUAUAUGUCAAUGGAACCUAGUCUCCUACCUACAGCAUAACAAGUGCUCAAUGGAUAUUGGUUCCCUUACCUUCUACCCUAGGUCAUUUCCCUCCUGAGUGGGUCACCUUCUUCUCUACACAUGAGGAGCCGUAUUUGACCCUUCGCAUAGAUUGCGCAGAUAGUUACAGAAUAAACAGAAGGCUUCCUAUGACUUCGAUUUAGUA
rnacentral:lncRNA from 1 species